rnacentral:lncRNA from 1 species
AAAAAUAGGAAGAAAUUUAAUCAGUAAACUAGAAGGUUUGGUAACUGUUAUCAUAUUUAAAAUCUUUAUGGUACAAGUUAAAAAAUGGGAAGAAGUUUAAUCAGUAAACUAGAAGGUUUGGUAAUUGCAGUAGAAAAUUUUGAGGCAUUGGAGGAGACUAAAGAGGUAUCGUAUUUCAAUUGAGCUUUUAGUAAUCUCUUAUGAGGAUUAUGUUGUGUGAAAUUUUUUAUUAUGAUUGUGUUGUGUAAUUUCUCAUUGAUUACUAAUUAUUAUUUUGAUUUUUGUAUGAGAGUUGAUAGCUUCAGAUGAGACCUACAAACCAAAUUGGGAAAGUAUAAAUGGAUGUUGGGCAGUAGAGAGGGAGAAUGGCGGGAGAAUGGAUGGGCACAUGAGAGAGGGAGAAUAGCAGGAGAAUGGAUGUGCACAAAAGGGAGAAUGGCAGGAGAAUGGAUGUGCACAACAGAGAGAAUGGCGGGAGAAUGGAUGGGCACAAGAGAGAGGGGCACAAGAGGGAGAGAAAGAU